rnacentral:rRNA from 1 species
AACGAACGCUGGCGGCAGGCCUCAAACAUGCAAGUCUAGGGGGUGUAGCAAUACAUCACCGGCGGACGGGUGCGUAACGCGUGGGAAUAUACCUAUCGAUUCGGAACAACUGAGGGAAACUUCAGCUAAUACCGAAUACGUCCUAACGGAGAAAGAUUUAUCGUCGAUAGAUUAGCCCGCGUUCGAUUAGCUAGUUGGUGGGGUAACGGCCCACCAAGGCGACGAUCGAUAGCUGUUCUGAGAGGAAGAUCAGCCACACUGGGACUGAGACACGGCCCAGACUCCUACGGGAGGCAGCAGUUGGGAAUCUUGGACAAUGGGGGGAAACCCUGAUCCAGCCAUGCCGCGUGAGUGAUGAAGGCCUUCGGGUUGUAAAACUCUUUCGCGCACGACGAUAAUGACGGUAGUGCGAGAGAAGCUCCGGCUAACUCCGUGCCAGCAGCCGCGGUAAU